UACGGAGGGGGCUAGCGUUGUUCGGAAUUACUGGGCGUAAAGCGCACGUAGGCGGCUUUGUAAGUUAGAGGUGAAAACCCAGGGCUUAACCCUGGAAUUGCCUUUAAGACUGCAUCGCUAGAAUCGUGGAGAGGUGAGUGGAAUUCCGAGUGUAGAGUUGAAAUUCGUAGAUAUUCGGAAGAACACCAGUGGCGAAGGCGACUCACUGGACACGUAUUGACGCUGAGGUGCGAAAGCGUGGGGAGCAAACAGG
rnacentral:rRNA from 1 species